CCUACGGGGGGCAGCAGUGGGGAAUAUUGCACAAUGGGGGAAACCCUGAUGCAGCGACGCCGCGUGAGUGAAGAAGUAACUCGUUAUGUAAAGCCCUAUCAGCAGGGAAGAAAAUGACGGUACCUGAGUCAGAAGCCCCGGUUAACUACGUGCCAGCAGCCGCGGUAAUACGUAGGGGGCAAGCGUUAUUCGGAUUUAUUGGGUGUAAAGGGAGCGUAGGUGGCAGUGCAAGUCUGGAGUGAAAGGCGGGGGCUCAACCCCCGGACUGCUCUGGAAACUGGACGGCUGGAGUGCAGGAGAGGUAAGUGGAAUUCGUGGUGUAGCGGUGAAAUGCGUAGAUAUUAGGAGGAACACCAGUGGCGAAGGCGGCUUACUGGACUGUAACUGACGUUGAGGCUCGAAAGCGUGGGGAGCAAACAGGAUUAGAUACCCCGGUAGUC
rnacentral:rRNA from 1 species